CCAGAGGUGGCAAGCGUUGUUCGUCCUUCUUCGGCUUCCCUCUCCCUUCUUCUUCCCUCCCCUUCCUCUUUUCCCUCCUUCUGCUCCACGGAAGAACGGCAGUUGAUACUAUAGGGCUGGAGUGCGGGAGGGGAGAGUGGAACUUCUGGUGGAGCGGUGAAAUGCGUAGAUAUCAGAAGGAACAUCGGCGGCGAAAGCGACUCUCUGGCCCGUAACUGACGCUGAGGUGCGAAAGCUAGGGGAGCAAACGG
rnacentral:rRNA from 1 species